ACUUUGGGCUCACGUAGACAUAGGAGAAUGAAACUUCUGUACAUUUUAAUCUGAAUAAUUCUUCAGGAUUUAAAAUUAAUUGGCUCUGGCUUGCUUGGACUGUACUCGGAUCUCGCUGCCUCUGCGCUCCCAGAGUCACUGGUGGAGAGGUGAUGAUUUUUUUUUUUUUGAACUGGGUUUAUGUGCGUCCCUCUCACUCCCCCCCCUUUUUCUUUCUCUCUGUCUCUGUCGUCUCUCUCUCUGGCUUUUUAAAAAUGAGGAACCGUUCCUUGAACGUUUUGGACAGAGCACAGAAUUGCUUCUUAAAGUCAGCGCGGCACGGUUGCGAUAGACAGCAAAAAGGUAAACGUUGGCCCGAAACCCGCACGCCAGCUCCGCCACCCCGCCCGACGCACAGAGGAAAGCAGGUAGAACAACCCUGCUGUGACUUGCCUGAACAUUUCAGUGAAGAAGGAACUGAGUGAAUGUGGUCUUCCAGGCUCCAAAAUGGAAUCAAGAAGGCAUAGAAUCCUACCUCAGAAACGAGCUUGGAAGGCACCGGUCCAACUUUCUGCUGAACCCAGAGUUCUGGAGAUGGACAGGUGGUCAAGUAGAUGAAGGCCAUGAGAUUUCAGGAGUUGCAAGUCCAAGGCAGGUACCACAAAAGGGUGAAAGUCUGUGAGAAAGUCACCCGUGGGGCCAGGGCUACCUGGAGAAACAGAGGGGAAGGGUUCACUCUCUCCAACUUUCUACUGUGGGAAAGCUUUGUACAUAGACACAGCUGUGUUCCUCACAUGGAAGCACAAAUCAUUUAUCCAUUUGGUUGGAGUCUCUCCUCAGAACAAUAAAGCUGAAUCUUGUUCCUUUUUUCCAGUGAUUGACUACCCAGGACCUGAAGGUCAGAGUCACACUCCUCAUGCCCCUGCUUUCUUUUUCCUGGCCGCAUUUCCCAGUUCCCCACGUGACAUAGACUCAGCAGGUUUUGCUUGGCUGAAUUGGCCUUGGUUUGCCCUCGAGAAGUUUUGGAUAUGUCUUGAAACAAGUAACACACUCAGGAGCCCCGGCCAGUGUGCACAGUGUCUGCCUGCCAUGUUGUGUCACUAGUGAACCAGAGUCUUCAUCAGGAAGUGUCCUCAUACUCUGGAGUUGUUUCUCA